rnacentral:rRNA from 1 species
AAUCAACGCUGGCGGCGCGCUUAACACAUGCAAGUCGAGCGAGAAAGGGGAGCAAUCCCUGAGUACAGCGGCGUACGGGUGAGUAACACGUGGGUAAUCUACCUCUUAGUGGGGAAUAACCCUGGGAAACCGGGGCUAAUACCGCAUAAGCCUGCAAAGGGAAGCAGCAAUGCGCUGAGAGAGGAGCCCGCGGCCGAUUAGCUAGUUGGUGAGGUAAUGGCUCACCAAGGCGACGAUCGGUAGCCGGCCUGAGAGGGCACACGGCCACACUGGCACUGAAACACGGGCCAGACUCCUACGGGAGGCAGCAGUGGGGAAUCUUGCACAAUGGGGGAAACCCUGAUGCGGCGACGCCGCGUGAGCGAUGAA